rnacentral:tRNA from 1 species
GCCGAAGUACGCCAAUCGGAACGGCGGCCUGGCUCAGACCCAGGUGUGUGCGGGUUCGAGUCCCGCCUUCGGCA